AACCGGAUCUAUUUCUCUUUUUCUGUCUAUCUCUCUCGGAGCGACAGAAAAAAUUGUGCAAACGGGAAAAAAACAGAAGACCAGAAGCGAAGACGAGGCGGAAAUGACGGGUUUUUGUCUCCCAGCUUGCUUGCUGCCUGUCAAUGUCUCUCAAUGACUGUCGCAAUCGUUCCGGCUUUGUGUAUAUGUUCCAGCGACGAACGUGCCCAGCGUCGCGAUCGGUGAUGAACGAUGGAUCACCGUUCGCGCGGUCGCCGAACAGGAUGGAGACGUCGAACAGCUCUAAAAAUACCCGUGCUACAAAUCAAGCGGCCUCCACGAGUCUUCGCAGCGUCGGCUGCUGCCAUAGCAGUGGCUAUGACGGCACAUCCCGUUAAAGAACAGAGCCAUCACUUGCUGCUGAGCAACAGAAAAGGACUGACUGGCUGCGGGUCGCGCGCAGGGGUUGCUGCAGGCCAAGCCCGAGCUUCAAGCGUACGUCUUAAGUGGCUGAGGCAGCGGCGGCCAUCGUAUGGUUGUGAGACGGUGAUGAUGAUGGUAAAAAGUUUUCGUGUUGAUUUCGACAUUGAUGUAAAUGCAGGCACAAAAGUGUUGAUGUCUGUGUGGUUAUGACGAUGUUCGAGAACCUGCAGAUGUUUUGAUGAUGGUUGACGCGAGACUUAAAGUUGAACGCCAGCCCGCCUCCCGCUGGCCAGUUGCGUCAGGUAAUUUGCGGGUAAUGGUAUCCUAAAAUGUUGUUUUUAGCUUGUUAAGAUAUCCAUGGUGGUAUUGAUGAAAGAGACUUCUUCUACUUCUGGUGCUCAUUGGAUACGGGUGUAUGCCAUAAAGUAAAAGCAUACUGAAGCCACGCGGACCGCUCAGUUGCAACUUAAAGGAAAUAACGAGGCAAUAGCAUAUAUCUUCUUGUAACGGCACGAAGGUAUCAGUUUGUAUAUGCAUGUGCUAGAUAUAAGACUGAAUCGUUUUACUGGUACAUACACACUUCGGAACGUGACAUAACGUUUAAGCGUCACAACGAAAAUACAAAGAAAUAGCUGUAACAGAUUGAAGUUAGUUAUUAUCGAAGAGUCUGUCGAGAGCUGUAGGACAAGAACGGAACGUCGGAAGAACGGAAAAAAAUAAUCAUAAUACAAGCUUGGCAGUGGAUUACAGAGCAGCGGCCAUACCAUUAUGUUUGAGCAUCCCUCGAGGGAACAAAUUAUGUCGUAUCAACCUCAAAGUGGAGCUGAAUAAUGCUUGUGCUGUUACACCAGUGAUUACACUGCGCCUUCCAAGCCGGAAGAUAGUCGUUCGGGCUGUGCAGGCCGCCUCCGCCUCCUCCUCCUCUUUAGGGGAGCAUGUGUACAUCGCUACAAAUCAUCCAUUGUGGAUAUAUACAUUCCUUCAUUAGAAGUGGCCUUCGACUCGAACGUUGGCAACGUUACUCAUCCCGUAGUAGCUACGGUACAAUUUUAAAUGGGUCCAGACGAUACCGAAAUACGUUUCGAUGACAAACUUUUGUCGGACAAGUGACAACAAUGAGCGAAUGCAGGAAUACAAAGUCUGAUUUUCGUAUUUAGGUAAAGUUAGGUUUGUCGCUUUUCCUGUAACGGCAGUACGAAAAAACCUUGUCGAUCAUGCUGAUUUCUCGAUGGGAGGAGAGUACGAGCGUCGAGACUAUCAGCGUAACAGCGACUAGUAGUGCCAUUAUGAUGCGGUCUCUGAGUUUGUACUGAGCACUCUAAAUUUCUACCUAUCGUUCAUUCGUCCUUAAAUUGUGCUUCAGUACAAAACUAGCCGAUUUUCCGCUACGUCAAGGCUGUUCCGUACUUUAAAGAUAAACCUCAAUUUGUCGAGAGCUAUUAUAUUAUAGCCACGAAUGACAGCUUUGGUCAAUUUGUACAAGUGUUGAAUCAUUGAAGUGUACAGCUUUCUGCUCUUUACUGGCUUACCGGAAGGCUAUUGCAACGAGUGUUCGAAAUUGUCUCUUGGACUUUAUGGAAAUAAACACAAAUUUAUAUAUAUAUAUUAGUCAAAGGUCAGUCAUCUGUGUUCGCCCGUUGACUUGCUUUCGAUUAUUAGUUUAGUAUAAAAAAAUAUGGCAAUAUCUAACGCACAGUUUCGCCUUGAUUUACCUUCGUACUCGUACGUUCAGGCUUGAAUUGACAGAAAUUCAACUAUGAGAUAACUACAGAUUUACUUGCCGUUCGGACGCAAACUAAAAUUUGUGUAAUCUGUUACGUGAGAUUGCUGGGUAUAUACAACUGAAGUUGGAAAAUCGACAAGCUUCGACAAGGACGAUGACAUUUUGACCGAUCAAAAACCGAUGGAAUCUUGUGUGAUUAACAGGCUGGCAAGCAGGAAAAGUACGCAUCAAAUCUUCUUAAACACCGCUCGCGUCUACAUGUUAUAAAGGCAGGAUUAAGGGAGCUAAUUUCAGAUGCGGUGGUCGAUGUAUCCGAUACAAUAUCAACCAUUCUUCGUUGGAGUACUUCGCCAGUCGAACAGUCGGUAGCCCAGACGAUGGCGCACGCUUCCCUGAUGGCCCUUCUUACUGUAUAAUAUAAUAUUCUAGUUUCUGCAAUCAAGUUCGAAAUUUUUUCAUC
rnacentral:lncRNA from 1 species